rfam:Byssochlamys spectabilis No. 5 DNA, contig: PVAR5_00326_1.
AAGAGCAUAGUUUAAAGGUAAAACCAUAAGCUUCAACCUUAUAUUUCCUAGUUCGAAUCUGGGUGCUCUUG